rnacentral:rRNA from 1 species
GACGAACGCUGGCGGCGUGCCUAAUACAUGCAAGUCGAGCGAAGUUUUUCUGGUGCUUGCACUAGAAAAACUUAGCGGCGAACGGGUGAGUAACACGUAAAGAACCUGCCUCAUAGACUGGGACAACUAUUGGAAACGAUAGCUAAUACCGGAUAACAGUAUUUCUCGCAUGAGAGAUAUUUAAAAGUUGGUUAUGCUAACACUAUGAGAUGGCUUUGCGGUGCAUUAGCUAGUUGGUGGGGUAAAGGCCCACCAAGGCGACGAUGCAUAGCCGACCUGAGAGGGGGAUCGGCCACACGGGGACUGAGACACGGCACAGACUCCUACGGGAGGCAGCAGUAGGGAAUCUUCCGCAAUAGGCGAAAGCCUGACGGAGCAACGCCGCGUGAGGGAAGAAGGAUUUCGGUUCGUAAAGCUCUGUUGUUAGGGAAGAAUGGAUAUGUAGUAACUAUACAUGUAAGAGACGGUACCUAAACAGAAAGCCACGGCUAACUACGUG